UAUUUGCUUUUUCUGUGUUGCUUUCUCACCAUCUUCUUUGUUCCUCGAUUCAUCUUCAAUUCUUACUCAAAUCUUCACUUCAUACAUCAAUUUCUUUUAAUCUCAGUUCUAUUAAUCUAAACUCUCCAUCGAUAUGUUAUAGCAACCUGAAAAAAAAAACAAAAAAAAAACAAAAAAAAAGAUGCUUUCGGGUAGUUCUCAUUGACGAUCGACUUCCAUAUGUUUGGGUUUCAGUCGAAAUUUUUUCGAUUGGGUUAAUUCCUUCUACAAUUCGAUGAUGUGGUUGGUGCUCACAUCAAAUGACAAUCAUACCAAUGGGGGGUUAUUGAUUGUAACAGAGAUAAAUAACAAUCAGAUAAGUACUUUGGAGAUUGUUUAAUUUAUAAUAGCUAUAAGUUAUUGGUUAUGUGAAAUGAAAUGCUGAUUACGGUUGUUAUAUUCUUAUGGGUUAUCUGCUAAACAUCAAGAAAUUACACUUUACAAAAGGCUGAGAAGAGUCAUCAUGAUUGACACCACUCAUAUCUAAAGUAUGUUUUAAAGGUAUGAAGGACACGGACAUGCACUUUCCAACGAGUUUUAAAAGGCUUGACAUCUCGGAGAAAAGCGUAAGAAGAAGCCAUUGCAAGUGAAAGACAAUCGAAGCCCAAAAAUCAUUGAUUCCGGGUUAUUGUGAGAGAGGACGCGGAUCCUUUAUGUGUACGGGUCGGAUAAUUUCGAUUGUGUAUUUUUGUCCAAAUUAUCCCUUCCAAUUUUUAAAAACCCUCUCCUUUAUGCUUAAUUGAAGGGUAAUCUUGGAAUUUUUUGACAAUUUUCUAAU